rnacentral:lncRNA from 1 species
CUUUGGACUAGUUCAUAUGCUUCAAUGUCAAUGUUCGUAUGCAUGAUGUAUCAGUGCCCAUGCUCUUAUGGAUCAUAUAUCUUGUGAUCAAAGUUGAUGCACCAACAAUAAAUUUCUAGCUAUCAUAUACAGAUUAGUGAUCUAUUUAUUAUAUAACCUCCAUUUGAAUGAUCUGCGUUGAACCGUUAGUUGCUAAAAGUAUAAAUAUAUCUCCUACUGGUUGGUCGGUAAAGGUUGCCCAAUCAGUUGGAUGGCAAAACAUGUCCGUGAGUAUUUAUCCUGUGGCCAUUUGACUAUCAGUUGAAAAAGCGAGUUGGUAGGUACAACCUUAUCCUUACAUCACAUGCACCGAUUAAUAGUUGUGGUUGCUAUAAUUCUAUUACGGACGAAUCGUUUAUCACCAUAACGACUUAUACCCACCACAAUUUUAUCAUGAUCUGAGGUUGUGGAAUAGUCUACUCACCUGAUAUAAGUAUAUUUUCACAUUUAUAGUUGCAGCUUGUAUGAUAUAGUAGUUCUUGUUACUCUAAUCCCAAAACUAUUGUGUGAAUGAAUGCAAACACUAUAGUGUUGAUCAUGCUUUUUGGAAGAUUGUCCUAAUUCAUCCCGCCCCCCUUAAUUAGGUCCUUCGAGCACCCAUUCCUU